CCUACGGGAGGCCGCAGUAAGGAAUAUUGCUCAAUGGGCGCGAGCCUGAACCAGCCAAGUCUCGUGAAGGAUGACUGUCCUACGGGUUUUAACCUUCUUUUAUAGAGUAAUCAAGUGCGGCACGUGUGCCUUUUUGUCUGUCUUUUAUCAAUACGGAUCGGCUAACUCCAGGCCAGCAGCCGCGGUAAUACGGAGUCUCCGAGCGUUAUCCGGCUUUAUUGGGUUUAACGGGAGCGUAGAUGGGUGGUUAAGUCAGUUGUGAAAGUUUGCGGCUCAACCGUAGAAUUGCAAUGGAUACUGGCAGCCUUGAGUACAGGUGAGGUAGGCGGAAUUCGUGGUGUAGCGGUGAAAUGCUUAGAGAUCACGAAGAACUCCGAUUGCGAAGGCAGCCUACUAAACUGCCACUGACAUUGAUGCGCGAAAGUGUGGGUAGCAAACAGGAUUAGAUACCCGUGUAGUC
rnacentral:rRNA from 1 species